rnacentral:lncRNA from 1 species
GCAGGACCCAAGCCACAUCUGCAGCCUACACCACAGCUCAUGGCAAUGCCGGAUCCCCAACCCACUGAAUGAGGCCAGGGAUCGAACUCGCAUCCUUAUGGUUCCUAGUUGGGUUCGUUAACUGCUGAGCCAUGAAGGGAACUCCCAUACUUGACUUUUCUUAUAUGGCCUGAAGUUGGGUAAUGGGCAAGGUGACCUUAUAAUUUAUUAGCCAGAAAGGAUCACCUUUUUGUUGUUGUUGUUUGUGUUUUUUUUUUUUCCACUCUGUUUAAACUUUUUAUGGAAGUGUAACAUUCAUCCAGCAAGAUGGACAAAUUGCACGUGUGUAGCUUGAUGGGUUUUCACCAAAUGAGCAGACCUGUGUAACUAACACAUAGACUUAACAAAACAAAACAAAGCAGAACACCUGCUAGCCCCUCCAUGAUCCUGCCAGUCAUUACCCUUCCUCAGAGGUAACCACAAUCCUGACUCCUAGGACUACAGAUUUAUUUUGCAAACUAAGAAAACUUUGAGAGUGGAAGGAGCCUUGUCCUCCAUAAUGGCUGCAUCAAUUCCUUCUCUCCCUAUAAAGACAUGCUAUGUUUCUGUUAACAGGAGUUAACCAUGCGUACACUCCCUUGAAUCUGGACUCCUCUGACUGCUUUGACCAAUAGAAUAUCGCAGGUAUCUUUGCCAGUUGUGGGCCUAGCCUUUAAGAGGACUGGCAGUUUCUAAUUCCAGCCUUGACCCUGAGUGUCCAUGAAAGAGGUCCAGGCUUCUCUGCUGAAGAGGCAGGCCGUGUAGUGAGCAGUGGAGUGCCAGACAUGGGAGUGAAGAAGCUAAUCUUGAGGUUCAGCCCAGUGAAACCUUCAGAUGACUCCUGCCCAGGCUGCCAUCUGACGACAAAUGAGAUUCUCACCUUUGGACCUCUAGCUAAAAAGUCUCUUUGGUCUCCAGGCUCCUAUAACCCACCUAAAUGCAGGAAAUGUGACUCCCUAGAGCAGAAGUUCCAACUCCUUUCUCGUUUCCCCUAGAUGCUUCUGCCUCCUCAGAUAAGCCUUGACACUCAUUUCAUCCACAGAGGUUUGGCAUGAAGACUAUUCUGUGCUUCUCUGAUGAAGCAAAGAAGCAAAUCUUAUCGACUGAUGGGAAUUGACCAUAAUGAGGAUGCCUCAGUUGUAACAUGGAGAGUGAAUGUAUCAUCUGCUCAGAAGCAGACAAAAGUCAUUCAAACGACAGAUUGUGGUGUAAAGCUCAGUGAUGCCAGGCUUCUGCACAGAGACUCGGGGGCAGCUCUUACGAGCUUAAGUGUAAUGGAAUGGGAGAAAGGCAAAUAAAAGAGAACCUGUUGGCUCCAUUCUGGCCCCACCCUACUACUUCCCCUCCACCCUUUGAAAGCAAAUAGCUGAUGGGCUGCUAGACAAAUGCCCCCCCCCCCAACUCCCCCAUCCCCAGAGUACUCAAGGACAGAGGAAACAAAGGUAGCCUUAGCCAAGCCUGAAUGGGAACCAGAGGUAGAAUCAUUUGUACUCAUCCCUUGGAGAAGAGCCAUUUUUCUUCUGUAAACUAAGGGUGUGUCAUUUUCUUUUAGGCUUUGAUGUGAGGUAGCAACAUCUCUAGGUUUCACCAUCAUUUUUUCUCUUGGAAUUGAGACUUCUUUUGUAACUAUUUUUUCCCCCAAAAUUGUAUAAAAAGUGCCUGUUAAUUAUAGGAGAAAUAUGCAAAUAGAAACAGGAUAUCAGUAAUUAUUGGGACCUGUCUUUCNNNNNNNNNNNNNNNAGGUAUGAGCUGUCAUAUCAAUCCCCAUUCAUUUUUGCUAUUGACAUUUCGAAUCCAUGACCGUAUCACUUGGAACUUUCUUUUAUUUGAACUACAGAACUUAUCAUUUAUCAAUAUUUACAUGCCUGCAGAAUGUGGCUGUAACAGGUCAUAUCCUAGGAGGGGAACAGUUCACAUCCAAAGUUCAUUUGGCAUUUUUUCACUGGUUAUGCUUUCUACAAGGCAAGUAAAUACUCUGCCUACACUGCACCAAGGAUUUGAUUGCGAUUGCUCAGGGUUCCUGUGGUAUCAUGUAUAUUUGUGCUCUACGAUACAUUUCACCUGGUUUCCAUUAUCUGAAGUAAUUUCUCCUGAACCUUAGCUGGAAAACAUGCUAGAAAGGUGGAGAACAUGGAAGAAAGGAAAGGAAAAUGAAUAAAAUGUGUUUCAAUUAUCUGUUGCUAGGUAGUAAGCCACUGUGAAAUUUAGUGGCUUAAACGACAGUGAUUUAUUGUAGUCUGUGAUUCUGUGGGUUGGCUGGACUUGGCCAGGCAGUUCUCCUCCUCUACAUGAUGUUGGCUGAAGUCACUCAUUCACGUGGCUGCAUUCAGCUAAUGGCAGGGCUGGAGCUGUCAGUUGCAUGCCUUGGUUCUUCUCCACAUGGCCUCUUCAUGUUAUUAGCUUGGACUUUCUGAUAAAAAUGUGGUCUCAGGGUUCCAAGAGCAAGAAAGUAGAAGGUGCCAGCCUCUUAAGGGCUCAGCCCAGUACUAUGAAAUUAAAUUGGAUCAAGUCCACACCAUGUUAUUGGUCACAGUGAGUCACCAAGUCAGCAUAAGAUUCAAGGGGAGGGGAAAUGUAUUCCACUUCUAAAUAAAAGGAACAGCAUGGACAUGAUGGAUGGGAGGAAUUUUUGGUAGCUAUCUUUAGUGACAGUUUGCCAGCAAUAAGGAGGGGAAAAUAUUAGGAAAUGGUUAAGGAAACUGAAAAAAAAAAAAACCCACAGAAACUGAAGAAAAUGCGAGUAUAAUAGGAAUAGUCUUCAACUGUUCAUUCAUGUGUAUAUUCCCAACAUUUAGCAUAGAGUCUGACACAAAGGCUCAUAGUUAAUGUUUGUUAAAUGAAUGAAGUAGAUAAUGUUUCUGUGGCAGAGCCUGGCUAGUUACUCAUCAACCUGAUUCGUACUCUUCCUGGGCACAUAGAUAGACCUCACUUCCCAGCCUCCCUUGUGGUUAGCAAUGGCAUGUGAGUUCUACCUGAUGGAAAUUCAGUGGAAGCACCAUUUCCAGGUCAGAUCCACAGAAACGUCUCAGAUGGAAUCCUUCAUGCCCUUUCCCCCUUCUAGAUUCCUGGAGUGGAGACAGUCUCCAGGGUGAUCUUUUGAAGAUAGUUAAGCCACAAGAUGGAAGGAGCCCAGGUCCCUGAAUCACCACUUUCAGGAGAUGCACCUGAUCAGGAACACCCACUUUCCAUGGUUAUAUUAAUAAAUAACCUAGUUUGUGUAAAGCCAGUGACAUUUUAGGGUUUAUUUGUUACAGAAGCCUGUGUUAUCUGAACGAAUUCAUUUCUAUUUCCCAACCCUCUAGUCAUUUCAAGGGCCACAAUAAAGUUCAAAUUCCUUAUAACUGAUGUUAAGCUCUAGUUGGUAUAGUGAGAAGUAUAUUUGAAACCACACUGGGGUAGGCAGACUUCUAAAUGGCCCCCAGUGAUUCCUGCUUCAUAUCAUCCUCUUCUGCUGAAUGUGUACAGACCUAAUGACAUGUUUCUAAUUAAUAGAGCAGGUCAAAGAUGAUGGAAGGUCACUUCUGUGAUUAGAUUACACAAGAUUUUGCCUUUGUGCUAGCAGAUUAUCUUGCUGGCUUUGAUGAAGCAAACUGCCAUACCGGAGAGGCCCAUGUGGCAAGGCAUUGAGGAUGGGCUCCACCCAACAGCCAGGGAGGAACUGAGGCCCUCAGUCCAACAGCCUGAAAGAACUGGAGCCUCCCAAGAACUCCAUAAAUGAAUUUGGAAAUGGAUCCUUCACCAGUUGAACCUUGAAGUUAGACUACAGCCUCAGCCAGUAUCUUGGUUGCAGCCUGAUGAGAGACACUGAGGCAGGGGUCUCAGCUAAGUUUUGCCCAGAUUACUGAAUGUGUGUAUUAAUGAAUGUGUGUUGUUUUAAGUUUCUAAAACUUGGUGUAAUUAGUUGUGUAGCAAUAGACAACUAAUACUCUCACAUAUUUGGGUUUUAAUCUGGGAUUUGCCCCCAAUCUUAUUAUUAUUAUUAUUUUUUUUGUCUUUUUAGGGCCGCACCCAUGGUAUAUGGAGGUUCCCAGGCUAGGGGUCUAAUCGGAGCUAUAGCCGCCGACCUACGCCAGAGCCACAGCAAUACCAGAUGCAAGCCGUGUCUGCGAACUAUACCACAGCUCACGGCCAUGCCAGAUCCUUAACCCACUGAGUGAGGCCAGGGAUCAAACCCACAACCUCAUGGUUCCUAAGUGGGAUUUGUUUCUGCUGCGCCACCACAGGAACUGCUACCCACAAUCUAUUAACACUGGUAACCUUCUAAUUUCAAGUAGAUACUCUUAGAGAUAAGUAUGUGUUGAAUUGUUUCUGACUCCUGUUUGUAUUUUUAAACCGUGAACUUCUGAAAAAUUGCCCUAUCACACUGCUCUGGUAACCUAAUCCAUUAUUUACUAUGAAGGAACUUCUAUAUGAUUGUUGAAAAUCUGUUUGGUUUGGUGGUUGAAAUUGUUGCAGAAAAUAGUCUGUAAGAAGAGAAACUGGGAGAAGCAGACAGAACUGAAACAUGAGUGUUGUGUACCAAAUGACCUAAGCUGAAGACACCUGGAACAUUCUACAUCCAUCUGAAACAUGGGAAAACCAACAGAUGCUCCAAGAAUAACAGGGAAACUCUAGGAAAGUUAUUUAUGCCUUCAUCCUGGUCAACAGCCUAUUUUCAGGAGAUGAGUUAAGGUCUUUUGAAAGAGCAUGGAGCAGCCUGUAGGCAAAAGAGAGAAAGAAAAGUAGGCACAUUUAGAAGGUCUGGCAGCAAUAGCUUCACAGUACUUCAAGACAACUAUUGACUGAAGCUGGAGAGAAACUGACCCUUCUGGAUGGAACUUGUCCAGCUAGUUGUCUAGUUAAUUCCCUACUGACCCUCAACACUGACGUCAUACACUUUAUCCUCCUUAUAAUGAAUGCUUCUCUUUCCUGAAGUUAGAAAUACUAUUUUGUUUCCAUGUCUCUGUUGGAAGUGUUCAGGGGAGGAGAGCUAGGACAUGAAGGUCACAUUAUUUCCAAAAAACAAAAGGGCAUAUUUCAUGUUAGGAGUGAAAAUUGGGUGUUUAAAAAGCAGAUUCAAGGCAUGUUGUAAUCAUUCAUGUUAUCUACUUCAUCCUGGAAAGCAUUUCAUUGGGAAUUUGUUUUAACCUCUCUGCAUUUAACUAUCCUCAUCUAAAUAAAGAGAUUAAGCUAGUUGAACCUUACCUUCUAUGGCUGCCCUAAAGUUUUAUGAGUCAGUGACUCUUCCUGUAGAAAUUUCAGGCCAGAAGGAAAACACAUUUAGAAGGAUAAAGAUGGCUGAUUGGAGAAAAACUUUAUAAUUAACUUGAAUGAUGAUGCUACAGGGCAAGUUGAAAUUAUGCUAGAUGAUGAGGAUUCACCCCAACUGUGCUUUUAAUACAACCCUGAUAUCAUUCUUGUUUGGCUAAGUGAAAGGGAAUUUUCCCUGUUCUGACAGCUGAGCCUUGUCCUAAGAAAAGAUUAACUGGAAUCAGCCUCUUCCCCAGUGACUCUACGUUUCUCAGGUGCUGAGUCACUUGGAAGAGACUGAUAGUGCUGAAAAUAUCCGGUCCACCAGGCUUUGAAAUAUCAAAAGAUCUUAAUUUUUGUUUCUUUGUUUUGCUUUUUAGGGCCACGCCCGCGGCAUAUGGAGGUUCCCAGACUACGAGUCGAAUUGGAGCUGCAGCUGCUGGCCUACACCACAGCCACAGCAACGCCAGAUCUGAGCCGAGUCUGUGACUUACACCACAGCUCACGACGGGAACACCUAUCUUCUUAAUUGAACACUAAUCUAUGAGCAGAUCCCGACAUGAGCUGUCCUUCCACAGGGAUUUUGUUGAAGUAUCCGUUAAAACUCUUUAGAUUACAUCACCCAUGCUCCUUUAAAAAACAAACUCACGAUCAUAUUAUUUUACUUUCCCCCUUAAUUUUUUGAUCUCUGGCCCUAUUCACCUGAUAUUUUGACAUGUAAAAGUCUUUUAGUGUCAGUAUUCAGUUGACUAACAAGUAUCAAACUAUGAGCAUCACUCCAGGACUUACUCUUGUUUUUCUUCUCUCUUCACUUAGCAUAAUUUCCAUGACUUGUUUUACCCUGAGGGUUCAUUUACAACCUGUAUGUAAAUACCUUUUAAAGUGUUCCUCUUCUGUCACGUGUGUGAAACUGUACCUCCACUUUAAUCAACUCUAUUUCCCCCAAUUCAGCCCGUCCCAGAGCAGAAUUCAUCAUCUGCCCAUUCAAGCUCCUCUUCCUCAUUUUUCUGUUUUGGUUAAUGGCACAUCAUUGACCAGGAUGUCACCUAAGGCUCUUCCUUUACCCUUACUGUCUACACCCAGGUACCAUACUCUGACAAUUUUCCUUUUAACCAUUUCUUGUAUCUGUCGCCUCCCCUUAGCGCCCAUUCUUCCUUCUGUGCUUCAGCCCUAUAUCUCUAACCUAUACCAUUUCAGUGGACCCUUAGAUGUUCCCAGACUACACAGUCCCAGGAUGAGGGUAAAAUUCAGGGCCAGAAUAUCUGUCACAACACUGACUUUCUUUUGCUCCACCCCUAGCCAACUACUGGAAUUUAUAUCCCCUCAGACUGGCUCUAAAUGGUUUUGGUAUUCUCCAGGGAGUGUUUCACACGCAGGCUGGGAGUCAGUCUUCUUGGCUACGCCACAAGACUUGCCAUUGCUCUAUUUUCCUACUUUCAUUUACUCUAGUGAUAUGCAUUAUCAUCAUUGUCAAAAACAGGAGAUACUUCACUGCCGCUGCUACCUACCAAUGCCCAAGGCCUUGCCUGCUGAGCCCUUUGAGGUGUGGCCGUUGCUACGGGUGCCAGAACUCAGGGCAUUGUUUUCCCAUCCUUGUGGAGAUUGUUUAUACUGAUGCUGCUGAAAAAUAAGUUCUUGCUGCCUCAUAGGUAUUUAUGGUAGUGAACUCCAUAUUUUUUUAAAAAAAGAUUGUAUUUGUUCUUUAUUGUAGCUCUCUUACCUUAGGACUUGAGUAUGGAUUCAUGGAGUCUGAGACAGAAGGCAAUCUUAAUGAUAAACCGAUCUUAUUUAGAAUCAUUAUCCUUCCCUUAAAGCUUUAUCUUAUGACCCUGGACUAAACAUGGCACAUCUAUUCUUUUUUUCUCUAGAGAAAGGUUCCCAGGAUGCACUUUAAUCCUUCCCAUGUAUCUCGGUACAGGAGUUCCACCCUAUCCCCCAGCCCUCUAUGAAAACAAGCCUGAAUCAUGGGAAGAACAUAAUGUAUGCUCAGGAGUGGGCUGUUAAGAGCUAAUAAACCAAACCACAAUUUUCUAUGAAGAUUUUUCAGAUAAAGACAAUAAACUUAUUGACCAAGCAGAAAAAAGAAAGGUUUGGGUGGCUUUGGGAUACCAGUCCACUCUCUACAAUGUCAUCAAAGUCAUUGUUCUAAAAAACAAAACAGCUCAAGUUUAAAAUGUCCCUGAUUAAAAUCUCUCCUGAUUAAAAUCUUCAGUGUUUUCUCAAAACCUUCAAAACAAUCUUAAGUCUUCAACAAAGCAUGUUAAACUCUUCACAGUCCCAUCAUAGCCUCUUUCUCCAGUGCUGUUCAUGAAGCCAGUAAAAGUUCCCCCAGAUCGACAGGUUCCUCAUCAUUGUGUUUGUCCAUGAACCACCUGCAGUAUAGUAAAGAGAUUAAGAGCACUGGCUACAGGUUCAGAUAGGUCAAGAUUCAAGUCCUGCCUCUGCCUUUAUCAGCUGUGUGACUUUAAGUUAACCUCACUUCACAUAUCUGAAACGUGGGGAUAAUAGUAGUGCCUAUGUUAUGGAACUGUGGUCAGAAAUAAAUGAAUCAUAAGUAUUUUCAAUUUGCCUUCUUUCGUGUCUCCUGGCGAAGUGGGGUGGAGGGGUUCCUGCAUUGCUUGCUUGACUUUUCGGGUCUUUGUUGGCUGUUCAGGGUGAGGAGGGUGGAAAGAACGGUGGCACCAUUUGUGAGCACAAAUGAGGUCGGAAGAGGAAGGGGGAGAGAGAGAGAGUAAGACAGACCAGCAAUGGGACAGGGGCUGGAAGGCUGGAGAGAAAAAAUAAAAAGACAGAUUUUUGGAAAGAACAGUUUGUGACUUAGAAUUUAAUUAGCCUUCCUGUAUGUUUCAUGAUAAAAUUCCCCCCUUACCGUCAUCUCAAGAGAUCUUCAGUGCUUUUAAAGGGUUUUGGUAAUUAGAUUUUUGUUUCUUUUGGAUAUGCUGAGACAGAGGCUGGCCUCAAGGCAACCCGAUUUUAUUUGGGUUACAUUUAAAACAAUCAGGUUACUCAGGGCUAUAGGGGAGAUGACCAGUUUCUCUCCAGGGGAGACAAAUUAUGGAGAGGAAUAUAAUUUUCUCAUUCAGCAAUUUUGGAAAUUGUCUUUAUCUUUUCUUCUUUCUUUCUUUCUUUCGGGCUGUAUCUGCCCAAUAUGAGCCCAUUUAAAUCUUAAUAAUCACUCUAUGAGGAAGGCAGUGGCCUAUUUCCACCCCCCCCCCAUUUUUUUGUCUUUUCACAGCUGUACCCACAGCAUAUAGAGGUUCCCAGGCUAGGGGUUGAAUCGGAGCUGGCGCUGCUGGCCUACACCACAGCCACAGCAACUAGAGAUCAAAACCGCAUCCGUGACCUACACCACAGCUUGUGGCAGUGCUGGACCCUUAACCCACUGAGCAAGGCCAGGGAUCAAACCCACAUUCUCAUGGAUACUAGUUGGGUUCUUAACCUGCUGAGCCACAAUGGGAAAUCCCUGUCUUUUAAUUUAAGAAUUCAGGGUUAAAGCCAGACUACCUGUGUUUAGAUCCUCACUUCCACUUUAGUAGUCAUGAAAACUUGAGCAAAGUAUUCAAACUCCCUAUGUCUCAGUUUCUCCACCUGUCAAAUGGAAAAAUGAUAGCUUAUCCCACAAAGGGUUGUUGUGGGAAUUAUAUGAGUUAGACUAUUUAAAGAGCUUAGAACAGUUAUUGGUAUGUAGUAAACACACCACAAAAGUUAGCUAUUAUAGUAAUUUUAGUUAUCUUCCAAAACAGAUAACUUAGUUCAGAGCAUACAAAAGGCAUUGAAAGUUAAUAGAUACACACAUGCAUAUAUAUUUAUAUAAUUAUAUUUCUACAUUUAUUAAUACACAAAGGUAUACAUACAUAUAUGUAUAUAUAGAGAGAAAAAAAGAUGAAUGAUACUUUGGUGAUUAACUCCAAGAGACUUCCCGCUGUUUAUUUAUUCAUUCAUUCAACAGAUUUGUAGUACUGCUACUAUGAUUCCAGCUAAAAAAGGCAAGACUCCAGGAGUUUCCUGGUGGCUCGGGGGUUAAGGAUCCAGUGUCAUCACUGCAGUGGCUUGGGUCACUGCUGUGGUGCAGGUUUGAUCCCUGGCCCAAGAUCUUCCCCAUGCUGCAGACGUGGCCAAAAAAAAAGAAAAAAAGAAAAAAA